rnacentral:rRNA from 1 species
CCUACGGGAGGCUGCAGUGAGGAAUAUUGGUCAAUGGGCGCGAGCCUGAACCAGCCAAGUAGCGUGAAGGAUGACUGCCCUACGGGUUGUACACUUCUUUUAUAAAGGAAUAAAGUGAGGCACGUGUGCCUUUUUGUAUGUACUUUAUGAAUAAGGAUCGGCUAACUCCGUGCCAGCAGCCGCGGUAAUACGGAGGAUCCGAGCGUUAUCCGGAUUUAUUGGGUUUAAAGGGAGCGUAGAUGGGUUGUUAAGUUAGUUGUGAAAGUUUGCGGGUCAAACGUAAAAUUGCAAUUGAUACUGGCAGACUUGAGUACAGUUGAGGUAGGUGGAAUUCGUGGUGUAGCGGUGAAAUGCUUAGAUAUCACGAAGAACUCCGAUUGCGAAGGCAGCUUACUAAACUGCCACUGACAUUGAUGCUCGAAAGUGUGGGUAUCAAACAGGAUUAGAUACCCGUGUAGUC